GCGUCGCGCAGCGCGUAGCCGAGAGGGGCAGCGGGGAGGCGGUGGCCGUCGCCGGUCCGGGCGGGGCGGGAGGCGGCUGUCUGCCAUGGCGGGCCGCGGCUCCGGGUCCUCGGAGCACCUGGAGCGGCUGCACGAGAUCUUCCGGGGACUGCACGGAGACCUGCGGGGCGUCCCCGAGCGGCUGCGGGGCAGCGCGGCCGAGGAGAAGAAAAAACUGAUUCGAGAAUUUGAUGAGAAACAGCGUGAAGCAAAUGAAACGCUGCGGGAAAUGGAGGAAGAACUGAAGUAUGCUCCUCUGCCUUUCCGCAACCAAAUGAUGAGCAAAAUCCGGGCAUAUAGAAGAGACCUAUCCAUGUUCCAGAGAGAGAUGAGAAGCACAGAUUUGGGAUUGGGCCCUGGAAGUCAAGGCAAUAUGAAAUACGGAAUCUUCUCCACAGAAAAUGAACAGAGUACUAAUCUGCAGUCACAGAGGGUGCUGCUUCUCCAGGGAACAGACAGCCUGAACCGAGCCAGUCAGAGCAUUGAGCGCUCACACCGAAUUGCUGCUGAAACAGACCAGAUUGGCACGGAUAUAAUUGAAGAACUUGGGGAGCAGCGGGAGCAACUAGAACGCACCAAGAGCAGAUUGGUGAAUACAAGUGAGAACUUGAGCAAGAGUCGCAAGAUUCUACGUUCCAUGUCCAGGCGAGUUACCACUAAUAAGUUGUUGCUGUCAAUUAUCAUCAUCCUGGAACUAGCCAUCCUAGGAGGCGUGGUCUACUACAAGUUCUUUCGCAAGAGAUGAAUCUUCAUGACUGAGUUGAGUUUUUCCACUGUUGAGGAACCAGAAGGGCUGUCUGUUGCCUUUGACUGUCUGAGGACUGAACUGUCUCAUGAGACAGCAUGUUCAACUGGAACUGUACUGACACUCAGAAAGACAGAGAAAAGGGGAGUAAAAAGAAAAUGCAGAUACAGACUUGAACUACUGGACAUACAAGCAAAUCAUGGUAUUUUUACCCAUUAAAGGAUGAAAAAGAAUGAAAGGAAAUUAUCUCAUGAAGCUCCAUCAGUGUAAAACAAAGAACCAUGCCAUCUUUCAUAGCACAUUAACAAAUUGGUUAAGAUUCUUCAGGUUAUGCUCAAGGCAGGCCAAACACAGCAGAUUCUAGUAAGUGUGUUCAGAGAAGUAUCACUUGCAUUCAAGAAUUUUUCUUCUUUAGCCUGCCCUCCUCCAAGUCCCCAUUUGUAAGGCAAAAAGACUUGGUUGAGCUUCUGAAUAAAAAAGCCAUUCAUUUCUUAUGAUUGCAUCAGGUUCAUACAGCUUACAAGGUGGGUAUGGUAGAGACAGAUGGACAGAGGCACACUUUUGGGGUCCAGAAUUCUGGGAUCUUGUCCACCUUCUGGACAAAUGGUACUGUCAUAUCUCCUGCAUUAAGAUGCCUUUCUCUAGUUAUUUCUAUAAAAAAGCCUAAUGUCUGUUAAAGAAAAUAGAUGCCUUCAGUUUUUUAUCAUCUUCAGAAGUUUAUUUUUGUUCAGAUAGAGUUCAUAAAUCUUGUAGCAGCUUUUCUCAGCUUUGUGCUUCCCUCUUGUUUAGGCCCACUGUUUUUAUGUGCUUGCAGAGGAUAGCUCCUCUUUCCCAAGGUGAUAUGAAUGUUUUCAGCCAACUAUCCAAUGGCUAUCUGAUUAAGAAACAGUUAAUCUCAGAAGUAUGCACUAAUCCAAUCCUCAAACAUUAAUAAUAUCUUUUCUUCCUACUAUUUUUUUAAUUGUGCCUAAAGUUUUGAAAGCUAUGUUUAAAAUCACCUUGGGGCAAAAGGAAAACUUAGUGAAUAGAUAGUACACAAAAAAAUGUUACAGUACAUAGAUAAACCAUGUAUCCUGAAGUGAUUAUGGGUGUGUGCACACAUGCGUGCACAUAUAUUAGGAUUGACCAGAUAUUAAAGAGAUGAAAUCAACAUGUACAUUUGUCUUAAUGCUUAUUGAACAGCAAAGAAAAAGAAUUUGUCAAAUUAUUAAAGUAAUUGUUGAUGUA